GACGAACGCUGGCGGCGUGCUUAACACAUGCAAGUCGAACGAAGAGCGAUGGAAGCUUGCUUCUAUCAAUCUUAGUGGCGAACGGGUGAGUAACGCGUAAUCAACCUGCCCUUCAGAGGGGGACAACAGUUGGAAACGACUGCUAAUACCGCAUACGAUCUAAUCUCGGCAUCGAGGAUAGAUGAAAGGUGGCCUCUACAUGUAAGCUAUCACUGAAGGAGGGGAUUGCGUCUGAUUAGCCAGUUGGAGGGGUAACGGCCCACCAAGGCGAUGAUCAGUAGCCGGUCUGAGAGGAUGAACGGCCACAAUGGGACUGAGACACGGCCCAGACUCCUACGGGAGGCAGCAGUGGGGAAUCUUCCGCAAUGGACGAAAGUCUGACGGAGCAACGCCGCGUGAGUGAUGACGGCCUUCGGGUUGGAAAGCUCUGUUAAUCGGGACGAAAGGCCUUCUUGCGAAUAGUGAGAAGGAUUGACGGUACCGGAAUAGAAAGCCACGGCUAACUACGUG
rnacentral:rRNA from 1 species